CAGUCGCCGCGGGAAUACGAAGGGGGCUAGCGUUGCUCGGAAUGACUGGGCGUAAAGGGAGCGUAGGCGGAUGUUUAAGUCAGAGGUGAAAGCCCAGGGCUCAACCUUGGAACUGCCUUUGAUACUGGACAUCUUGAGUGUGGGAGAGGUAAGCGGAACUCCGAGUGUAGAGGUGAAAUUCGUAGAUAUUCGGAAGAACACCAGUGGCGAAGGCGGCUCACUGGCUCAUUCUAGACGCUGAGGUGCGAAAGCGUGGGGAGCAAACAGGAUUAGAUACCCCGGUAGUCCCUGUCUCUUAUAC
rnacentral:rRNA from 1 species